rnacentral:rRNA from 1 species
GAUCCUGGCUCAGGAUGAACGCUGGCGGCGCGCCUACCACAUGCAAGUCGAACGGUUAAAGCACCUCCGGGUGUGCAUAGAGUGGCGAACGGCUGAGUAACACGUGGGCAACCUGCCCCCCUCAUCGGGAUAGCCUCGGGAAACCGUGGGUAAUACCGAAUACUCCGGCACCCCCGCAUGGGUGAGCCGGGAAAGCUCCGGCGGAGGGGGAUGGGCCCGCGGCCUGUUAGCUUGUUGGCGGGGUAACGGCCCACCAAGGCGAUUAUGGGUAGCCGGGUUGAGAGACCGACCGGCCAGAUUGGGACUGAGACACGGCCCAGACUCCUACGGGAGGCAGCAGUGGGGAAUCUUGCACAAUGGGCGAAAGCCUGGUGCCAGCGACGCCGCGUGCGGGACGAAGGCCUUCGGGUUGUAAACCGCUUUCAGCAGGGACGAGGCCGCAAGGUGACGGUACCUGCAGAAGAAGCCCCGGCUAACUACGUGCCAGCCGCAGC